UAUAUUUUAGUAUUAAAUUGUAUAAAAGUUUUUGAUGCUUUAGGUAAUAAUUAAUUUUAUUAAAUAUAA
rnacentral:tRNA from 1 species